rnacentral:rRNA from 1 species
AUUUUCUUAGUAGCGGCGAGCGAAAAGAAAUCAGUUCAGCACUAAGUCACUUUGUCUAUAUGAUAAAUGUGAGAUGCAGUGUAUGGAACAUCAAUCUUCUAGUAUGAGAAAUUAAUGAUUUAAGUCCUUCUUAAAUGAGGCCAUUUACCCAUAGAGGGUGCCAGGCCCGUAUAACAUUAAUGAUUACUAGAUGGUGUUUCCAAAGAGUCGUGUUGCUUGAUAGUGCAGCACUAAGUGGGUGGUAAACUCCAUCUAAAACUAAAUAUAACCAUGAGACCGAUAGUAAACAAGUACCGUGAGGGAAAGUUGAAAAGAACUCUGAAUAGAGAGUUAAAUAGUACGUGAAACUGCUUAGAGGUUAAGCCCGAUGAACCUGAAUAUCCAUUAUGGAAAAUUCAUCAUUAAAGCUGUAAUAUUUAAAAAAUAUUAUAGCAAUAGUGUGCAUUUUUUCCAUAUAAGGACAUUGUAAUCUAUUAGCAUAUGACAAAUUUAUCAUAAAAUAUGGCUUAUAGUUUAUUUGAAUUAGUAUGCUUGCAUUCUAACAUAAAAUAAAUGCCGUUCAAUUUGAUAAAGUGUUGAUAGAUUUAUAUGAAAUACAGUGCGUUAAUUUUACGGAAUUAUAUAAUGGCAUAAUAAUCGUAUGAUUUUUUAUGUUUAUUAUAUGCACUUGUAUGAUUAACAAUGCGAAAG